rnacentral:rRNA from 1 species
GAUGAACGCUGGCGGCGUGCCUAAUACAUGCAAGUCGAGCGAACAGACGAGGAGCUUGCUCCUCUGACGUUAGCGGCGGACGGGUGAGUAACACGUGGAUAACCUACCUAUAAGACUGGGAUAACUUCGGGAAACCGGAGCUAAUACCGGAUAAUAUAUUGAACCGCAUGGUUCAAUAGUGAAAGACGGUUUUGCUGUCACUUAUAGAUGGAUCCGCGCCGCAUUAGCUAGUUGGUAAGGUAACGGCUCACCAAGGCAACGAUGCGUAGCCGACCUGAGAGGGUGAUCGGCCACACUGGAACUGAGACACGUUCCAGACUCCUACGGGAGGCAGCAGUAGGGAAUCUUCCGCAAUGGGCGAAAGCCUGACGGAGCAACGCCGCGUGAGUGAUGAAGGUCUUCGGAUCGUAAAACUCUGUUAUUAGGGAAGAACAAAUGUGUAAGUAACUAUGCACGUCUUGACGGUACCUAAUCAGAAAGCCACGGCUAACUACGUG